AUCUUCCUUUGCUGACUAAGACUUUCUCACGAUACAUGCAAUAGUAUAUAUAUUACAAGCUAGCUAUAUAUCACAUCAUUCAUUCAACAAAAUUUAUAUCGCCAUUACUAACUCCCUUAUGUACUCUGAGACAUACACAUACAUGAAGCUUUUGUGGUAUCUUUUGCGCUUCUUCUGUCUCUUUCUGAUUCUUUUCCAUCCUACCAUUGCUGCUAGGAGUAAUCUUAAUUUUGGUCGUGUGCAAGAUCACGCAAUAAAGGCUCCUCCAGCCCCAAAGAUUGGCUCUAAUUCACGCCCAUGAAAUAAUAAUAAUGUCAAACAACUUAUACAUACACUGUUGUGCUA